ACUACAGGUUGCCCACCUACAGGUGGGCUGUGGGCUGUCCCAUCACUUGCUACACUAUGCGCCCACCAGUUUUGCCCCAGUUUGCGCUAAACGCAGUUGUGUCCCCAAAAGUGGGCCAACCCGCUUGGCGCCGUGCCAGGCAAGUCGUGGGCUGCCCACCGGUCAGGUGUAAGUGGGCUAACGUGCUCGGCCCCAGCGAUGCCCGUCAUAUGUUAUGGUGGGCUACUUUUCUCACGCCUGAAGAGACAAGCGCGCUACACACGUGACUCAAGCUUUUCAUCCUUUGAUCUCUCUCGAGGAGCCCUGAAUUGUCUACUACCACUGGGCAGAUAAGCGUACACGUGCUGUCGCCGCCAUCUUUGCGAAGCCAGCUUUCCAGUUUGGGAUUUUAAGUACGCUGUACAAAUGUUGUUGCAAGGCAAGCCUAUUCUGAGGUACUGCAGCUACUGAAACUCAUUUUCAAGCAGUGCUCCACAGUUUGCUGUGUAAGGGGCAGUAUCAAAUGCUGCAUCUUGGGCAAGCCAAGAAAGAACAAAGAAAGGAUUAUUGAAAUGCCUAGAAGAAAUCAAGGUGGGGCAAAAACGUUUGAAAGAAAAGGUCAACCAGCUGCUGCGCAUCAAUGAUGACCAAAACUUGAGUGGAGAACUUUUCAUUUCCUCUGAAGAUAAAGGAAGAUGGCUGGAAGACUGUGGUGUGAAAAAGAAAACGAUGCAGUCAGGAGAAUUUUUCCACAAGCAACAGAAAUGGAAAUAAAUAGUGUGGCACAUAAAUGGUUCAUUAGUGCCAAGGACAGGGGUGGUGAGCGACAUCAGCAAUUUAACUCAACUACUGAUUCUGGCUCCCGGUCUCCUAGCAGGCUGUCUGGUGGUGCAUCGGUUAGUGAACCAAUACAGUGAGGAUUAGCUGCACAGGGUUCUUGGACACACUACUUUUGCAUGUGACAUCUGUUUGCCUCAGCAAUUCCCAAGUUACAAAAGUAAAAGAAAUAAAAAUAAGCCUGAGAGAAUCAUACCGAUAUAGAAAAAUAAAUCAUUUUGAAUUGUCAUUUGCUUCUUGGUAUUGGUGUUCUAAAUGUGGUAGAGAUUGAUAUGCUGUGUGAAAGACUGAUGGUUUUGGUAGUUAGAAAGUGGCAUGCAGACCACCUGUUGGUGGUAUUAAGGUGGUGAAAAGGUGGGAUUUUGGUGGUGAGAAAGUGGUUUAGAGGUGUGUAGACCACCUGUUGGUGGUAUUGAGGUGGUGAAAGGGUGGGAAUUUGGUGGUGAAAGGGUGGUUUAGUGGUGGGCAGACCACCUGUUGGUGGUAUUAAGGUGGUGAAAGGGUGGGAAUUUGGUGGUGAAAGGGUGGUUUAGUGGUGGGCAGACCACCUGUUGGUGGUAUUAAGGUGGUGAAA